rnacentral:tRNA from 1 species
GGCCGCCUGAGCGAAAUGGCAUCGCGUCUGACUACGAAUCAGGAGAUUGCAGGUUCGACUCCUGCGGUGGUCA